CUGACUGGUGUGUUAUUGACCGUUACAACUGACUUAAAGUCUCACCCAAGCCGUGUGUACUCUGAAAAAGCUGACUCUCAGAAAUCAAGUUCUAGGGGCUUGUGCCACUGCAUGAUCAAGUUUGGGUGACUUUUAUUCUGAUAAGUUGGCAUCCAGGCGUUCCAGUCAAUACCAGUCCCUAGUGCCAGCCUACGCCAAUUGAUUGGCGGUGAUGACUUCAAAUCCUAGUGAGAACCCAUUGUGUGAGAGCAUGAGAUGUUUACAUUGGAUUAUUGCACGGGAAUUCAGGGCCAUUAGUUUGAAAGCCUUGCUAACGAUAUGUGUGCUAUCACUUACUUUGAGUUGCAACCUACGAUCAGGUUUGUGGGUGGUAUUCUAUCGAUUUGUGUACAUGAACAAGUUUUCACAAUUCAAUUGUAACCCAUUCUAUCUAGAAUUUGUUAAAAAGAAAUUAAACCAACUGGCUCAAAAAUUACGUAGAACCCUAAACCCUAAACGAGAUCCAAAAGAAAUAUUUGACGAGACAGUACCUUCGCCUCGCUUAUAAGGUUGGUUUCGAAAGGAAAUCUUUCAUGGCUGAAUUUGUAAAUUACUAUUUGUUUAAGUCAAAGCUGCUGACAACUGUUUUAUUUUUGUAUUUUAACAAUCGCACAAACCGAGUCUUCUAGAAUGUCGUGAGGUUAAAGGAACGAGAUUGUAGUGGUGGAAAAAGUUAACAACAGACGCCAGAUUCGUGGGGAAUUGGAAGCAGAUACACUGAGCCUCCAAGAGUUUAUCGAUUUGCCAAGGUGAUAUGAUAGUGCAAGGGGAUGCAGUCCUUAUUCGCAACUUACGCUACUCAUGUGAAACCUCUAUUCAUUUUUGUGAUCCGGUUUUAUUGCUUGGAACAUCAGACUCUCCGAAGAGUAAUCCACUUCGAGUAACUGCUUUGCCAACUUCAGGUGUUGUUCGUCAGAUAGUGGCGAUGGCAGAGCCUGGUGGUGGCAUUAUUCCGCAGGUGGUGAGCGAAUAUAAAAUUGAUCCAGUCGUCGCAGAGAAUAUUCGCGCCGUUUACCCUGUAUAUAUACGUAAAGGAGGGAACAAAACCCAGAUUCCACAGAGCUCCGUUGCAACAAUCAUGCGAGGUGUAGGAUUUAACCCUUCAGAGGCGCAAAUUGAAGACAUAAUCACUGCUUGUAAAAUGAAAGAGGAAUCCCAAACUCAGAGAGGUUACUUCGAGUGUGACAAUUUUGAACAACAGGUCGCUGGAAUGAUGUUCAACAACCCGGGUUGCUUGAACCGGUUACCUAAGGAAAAAGUUUUGAAGGCCCUAAAUGUAUGUUCAAUCCAGAAAACAAGUUGGCAGCUCGACGCGUUGUGCCAUCACUUGAUAACAAUUUGGCUAGGAAGGGAAACUUUGGAACCAGAAGAGCUUAAGAGCAUGUUCAGGGAACGAGGUGAUAAGUUCACUGUGGACGAGGCGAGCAGCAUGGUGAGAGCGGCGCAAGACUCGGACACCAAAUUAAUAUACCUGGACGACUGGGCUGAGCUGCUGUCCAGCGACGGCAUUAUCGCCAUCCCGCCCUCGCCCAAUCCUCUCCCGCCCAUCAAGAUCGGCGAAGACGAAGAGUUUCCGUGACUCACUCCCGCCCCGAUUCACGUGGGGAUCGCGAUUCGAAUGAAUGCACUGUGACUGACACGUCGCGUUCUGUUUACAGAUGGAUGCAUGUAUGAGAUUGCAAAUGAAUGAACCGUUGGUGGAUGGCUGGAUGAAUAAAAUGGGAGUAUGGACAUGUAUGUGUGGAUAGAUGGGUGACGUAAUGUGUGGGAUGGUAGUGAGGAUGAGUAGUGAUUUUGAGGCGCACCAUGUUGUGAAUGUGAAGUCUUCGUAGCCAGACGAUGUGUUUUUGAGAGUGCAUGAAUUCUGCCAGCUUCAUCAAUGAAUCCGCAGCCUAUAUUUUUGAUUUUAGAGUAAUGUGCGGAUGGAUGGAUGGACUAGUGAACUUUAGUCAAUUGAAAAUGUCGCAAUUUAGGUGUUUUAGCAUAAUGUGAAAAAGUUCAAAAAAUAUAUAUAGUUUGUAGAUAUAAAUAACCAAAAUAAAUUAAACUGCCUUAUUUGCAGGUAAUAGUAUAAACACAUAGGUCACCAUUGAUGGCAGUGAUCAUAGACAUAAAGAAACGUGAUUCUUCAAAAACAUGAUUCUUCAAUACUUCAUAAUUAUUGUAACACAAAAAAUUUUAAAAAAUACUUUGAUAUCAUGUACACAACAAUAGACUGGCGGUAGAAUAUUCACUUUUCUUGAAUGAUAUGAUUUUACUUAAUUUUUUGGAAUUCCUCAUGCACAAAAUGUAAGCAAAGAUAUGAAAACACAAAAUUUUACAAAAACAGAAACAAAACAAAACAAAACAUAAACGUAUGUAUAAAAUAUGUAAAAAGUUUCGAUUACCAUAUGUUAAAAGUUAAUAUGUAAAAUGUUGAUCCAACUGAACGGUGCUAUACACACUGGCUGUUAAAAACCCUGCUCAUUUCAGCGAUCUGAAGCCUCCAGAGAAAUUCCUCCGCAGAAACUGUUUUGUACUCGAUGAACAGUCGUUGCAUGUGUGGAUGAAUAAGUGGGAGUAUGGAUAUAUAUGCGUGAAUGGAUGAAUGACGUAAUGUUAGGAUGGUAGUGA